CCCACUGCUUCAACCAGGUGGGGUGGCAAGGAAGUCUGUCACAUUGCCCCUAGGCCACCGCAGGUGAACACCCUCCACAGGACAGCAGUGUCUCAACAUGGGGUGGGGAAACUACAAGGCUCCCUUGCAGGCCUUAUGGCUAAAAAUCUGGUAUCGGGUCAGGGCUGCUGACCUUGUUGCAGAGCCAUACCCCAGCAGAAGAGGAGACCAUCCCUGGCGCAGACCACCCAGAUGUACCACACUGCUGGCCACAUUCAGUCCUGGGCAGCACCAGGAGGUUUGGCAAGGUGUGGGCCGUGGCAACAGGCAAAGGCAGCAGAAGCGGGUGCGGGGAGGCAACAUGCCCCUCUUCCUCUGGUGGCACCAGAGGGCUGGCAGGGGCAGAAGGCGACAGAAGCGACGGCGGCACAGGAGAAAACAUUUUAAGAGAAACUACAAGCUGAGACAACAGGAGAGAGAGAAAUACUUCAUGGGGCAGUGCCCUCGUGCAUCUUCCUCAAAUGGCUGCAGGAGGCGGCGCCGCCAGCGCAGGUUUCCUGUGCAUGGACCACAGCGUGAGCAGCCUGGGAAGACAUGCUGGCAGGGCCACUGCUGGAGGAGCAACCAACAACGACGACAAAAAUGCACCAAGCCCCUCCACCAAGACCAGGCAGGUGGCCAGAGGGGUGGUGGUCAAGAGGAAACGCUGCUCUGGAACAUGAAGAAGCGUUGCUGGGUGACAACCUCGGACUUGCCAGCAGCGAUGCUGCGACGGGCAAGCAAGUAUCUCCGCCCCAUGAACAUGGCCGGGGUCUGCCUGCCAGGGAUGCGUGUACCCCACAACACCAGCCAGUACCUCAUGGACCAGCAUGAGUUCCCAUGGAAAAACGAGGAGGAAGAGGCAGCAGCAAUGUCUGGAGGAAAUGGUAACUACAGCACUGAGGAUGAGGACUUCCUUCUCACAGCCCAGGAGGAUGAAGGCGUGUAUACAGAAAAGGAAGAGGAGGAGAGCAUACAGGUUGCUUGGCAAGACUAGAAGUGCCAAGACAAUAUCUACUGUGAAAACUAGAGUGACAGCACAAGGAAAACAUCUGACUUGUAAUACAAUCAUCUAUUAAGAGCAGGCAAGCUCUUGACAUUCAGCUCUCUAAAUAAAUACAUAUCUGUACUUCUAACCCUGCUGCCU
rnacentral:lncRNA from 1 species